rnacentral:lncRNA from 1 species
UUUAAUAAAGAAGGUCUAGGAUAUACCGGUGAAAUAAGUGAAUCAAAAGAUAAAGUAUUAUAUAACGUUAAAAUUAAGGAAAAUGAAAGUAAUAUAUCUCCCUUCACAAAAUGUUCCUAUUAAACAGAAAUGGCCACUCUUUUUAUAUGUGCAAUGCUAGAAAUGGAAACUAUAAAGGAAAGAUGAUUUGGGUUCCCUAAGGAACAUAUACUGCAGCAACCAUCACAAGAAGAGAAUUUCACAAACAACAUUAUUAUACUUCUCACAAUCCAGUUACUCACAGAAUGCUUCUUUCUACUAAGAUUGAUUAUCCUAUGCCGAGUUUUGUAAAGGAAACUUCAAAUGCUCUUUAUAAAAAU